rnacentral:rRNA from 1 species
GACGAACGCUGGCGGCGUGCUUAACACAUGCAAGUCGAACGAGUGGCGAACGGGUGAGUAAUACGUGAGUAACCUGCCCUCUUUUUGGGAUAAGCCUUGGAAACGGGGACUAAUACCGGAUAAAGGGGGAUGGGCUCGCGGCAUAUCAGCUUGUUGGUGGGGUGAUGGCCUACCAAGGCGGUGACGGGGAGCCGGCCUGAGAGGGUGACCGGCCACUUUGUGGCUGAGAUACGGCCCAGACUCCUACGCGAGGCAGCCGUGGGGGAUAUUGCCCAAUGGGCGAUGGCCUGAUGCAGCGACGCCGCGUGGGUGAUGAAGGCUUUCGGGUUGUAAACCUCUUUCGCUAUCGAAGGGUAGGUGGAGAAGAAGCGCCGGCUAACUACGUGCCAGCAGCCGCGGUAAUAC